GACGAAACGCGCGUCUGGCGUAUAUACUAAAUUUAGUUCUGGUAUCUAUGAUGAGUUUAUUUACUAAAUUGUGAUCAAAGUUCGUUUUUCAACAAAAAAUACUAAUUUUGUAGUAGCAUGUUUUCUUUGAAAUAAAAUUGGAUUAUAUGUAAUUUUGGAGGUUAUAGAUAUAAUGUGUAAGGUGAUUGAUGUAAAGUGUAUAGUGUAAUUGCGCAGUGUGUAUGGUGUAUGGUGAAUAGUGUAAUGGUGUUUGAUGUUAGUGAAUAGGAAUUUAUAUUUUUUAAUUCAUGUCAUAAAUAUUGAGUUUCUAAUUUUAUUUUUAUAAAUCUUUAAUAUAUUAUGUACAUAUAGUGUAAAUAUGAAAAAUAUUCAAUAAAAUAGUUUCCGGCU
rnacentral:lncRNA from 1 species